rnacentral:rRNA from 1 species
GAUGAACGCUGGCGGCGUGCCUAAUACAUGCCAGUCGAGCGAACAGACGAGGAGCUUGCUCCUCUGACGUUAGCGGCGGACGGGUGAGUAACACGUGGAUAACCUACCUAUAAGACUGGGAUAACUUCGGGAAACCGGAGCUAAUACCGGAUAAUAUAUUGAACCGCAUGGUUCAAUAGUGAAAGACGGUUUUGCUGUCACUUAUAGAUGGAUCCGCGCCGCAUUAGCUAGUUGGUAAGGUAACGGCUUACCAAGGCAACGAUGCGUAGCCGACCUGAGAGGGUGAUCGGCCACACUGGAACUGAGACACGGUCCAGACUCCGACGGGAGGCGGCAGUAGGGAAUCUUCCGCAAUGGGCGAAAGCCUGACGGAGCAACGCCGCGUGAGUGAUGAAGGUCUUCGGAUCGUAAAACUCUGUUAUUAGGGAAGAACAAAUGUGUAAGUAACUAUGCACGUCUUGACGGUACCUAAUCAGAAAGCCACGGCUAACUACGU